AUUCCCUGGGACAUAUUGUCUUGUUUGUUAGUUUGUUGUUACUUUAUCAACUUGACACAAGCUGGAGUUAUCUGAGAAAGGGGAACCACAGUUGAGAAAUAUCUCCCUGGAACUGGCCGCCUGUGAGCCUGUCUGCAUUUUCUUAAUUAGUGAUUGAUACAGGAGGGCCAAGCCCAUUGUGAUGAUGCCACCAGUGGUCCUGGGUCCUAUAAGAAAGCAGGCUGAGCAAGCCAGCAAGCAGAAUUCCUCCAUGGCCUCUGACUUAGUUCCUGCCUCCAGAUUCCUGCCUGAGUUCCUGCCCCAACUUCUAUGGAUGAUGGACGGUGAUGUAGAGGUCAAUGGAAACACAAACUAAGACUGAAGUUUGAACCUGAAGUACGGUAUCCAAGGCAACUUCAGCUUUCCAGCUUCUUGUUCCAGUGUCUGGGAUCCACACAUGAUCUUCUGGGCUUCUCCAAAGGGCUUGGGUCAUAUAUCCAGCUCUGCCCUCUGUAGCACCCUAGGCUCUGGUUGACUCCACUCCAUUGCUGAAGCUGUCCAUCAUCUGGAUUUCAGAUAAGAGGUUUUAAGCAGGGUGUGGGGGUGCAUGCUUAUAAAGCCAGUGCUCAGGAAUGAAAGAUGAUUCUCAUGAGUUCAAGGCCAGCUUGGAUAGUUCUAGAUCAGCCUGAGCUAUAAUGUGAGGCCAUAUCUACAAAAAACAAAAAAAUGGGCUGGAGAGAUGUUUCAGUGCCUGAGAGAACUCACUGCUCUGUCAGACGACCAGUUUUCAGUUCUUAGCACCCACACAGCAGAUCACAACUGUUAUUCCAGUUCCAAGAGAUCUGACGCCCUCUUCUGGCCUCUGUAGGCACUGCACACACAUGGUACACCUAUAUGCAGGCAAAACACUCAUAUACACGAUAAAUAAAUUGAUAGAUAAAAGUACAAUGUAAAAACAAGCAAACAGUGGCUGGUGAGAGGGCUCAGUGCUUAAGAGUGCUUACUGCGUUUGUAGAGGUCUGGGAGUUCGGCUCCUGACAUCCAGGUUGUGUGGAUCACAGUUACUUGUAACUUCAGCUCCAGGUGAAUCUAACGCUCUCUUCUGAACUCUCCAGUCAUUGCACUCAGACAUACACAAAGACACACAGACAUAAACAUAUAUCUAACUGAAAAAUAUAUCUAAAAGAAAAAUAUUAUAAAG
rnacentral:lncRNA from 1 species